rnacentral:lncRNA from 1 species
CGAAAUACAUAUUUGAUAUCAAAAUACUCAUUUCAUAUGAUUUCAAAUAUUUUAAGCAUAUACUCAUCCUAUCUCUUUCCCUUUUUGGUAGCAUCAAAAAGCUCAUAGAAGGAGUCAAAAAAUAUCAUCAAAAGCAAUCGAAGUUCAAAUAAAGAAAGAUCAUUUUGAUUUCAAGAGAGUAUCAAAUUUGAGCUAUAUGGCAUAU